GGUGGGCUGCCCCAGCGGCCUGAGGGAACGGUCUUGAAAGCCGUCGUGGCAGCGAGGUCACCGUGGGUUCGCAUCCCACCGCCUCCG
rnacentral:tRNA from 1 species